rnacentral:misc_RNA from 1 species
UUUCCGUAGGUGAACCUGCGGAAGGAUCAUUAUUGAAUAAAUCUGGCGUUGGUUGUAGCUGGCUCUCCGGAGCAUGUGCACACCUCGUCACCUUUAUCUUUCCACCUGUGCACACAUUGUAGACUUGGAUACCUCUCGCCGCAAGGCGGAUGCGGAGGUUGCUGUGCUGUCGCAAGACGGUCGGCUUCUCUCUGAAUUUCCAAGUCUAUGUACCUUUACACACCCCAAACGAAUGUUAUAGAAUGUAAUCAUAAGGCCUUGUGCCUAUAAAAGUUAAUACAACUUUCAGCAACGGAUCUCUUGGCUCUC